GAACGCGAAGAACCUUACCAGGUCUUGACAUCCCUCUGACCGCUCUAGAGAUAGAGCUUUCCUUCGGGACAGAGGUGACAGGUGGUGCAUGGUUGUCGUCAGCUCGUGUCGUGAGAUGUUGGGUUAAGUCCCGCAACGAGCGCAACCCCUAUUGUUAGUUGCCAUCAUUUAGUUGGGCACUCUAGCGAGACUGCCGGUAAUAAACCGGAGGAAGGUGGGGAUGACGUCAAAUAAUCAUGCCCCUUAUGACCUGGGCUACACACGUGCUACAAUGGCUGGUACAACGAGUCGCAAGCCGGUGACGGCAAGCUAAUCUCUUAAAGCCAGUCUCAGUUCGGAUUGUAGGCUGCAACUCGCCUACAUGAAGUCGGAAUCGCUAGUAAUCGCGGAUCAGCACGCCGCGGUGAAUACGUUCCCGGGUCUUGUACACACC
rnacentral:rRNA from 1 species